UUACAGGAAACCGUCAACUGUACAGAACUACAAAUAACACCUUUUCAGCUUUAGUCACAACAUUGAAGAUAUUAGGAUGGGACCAAAGUUGCUUCUGAUUCUCGUCAUGUUGUGUUGUUGGUGUCUAGUAAGUCAGCGGGUACAAUCCACCAGAUUAGACGAACUACGGAAUCGAUUUAUCGAUAAGGCAAUCGAAUCGGAAACCCAGAGGAAACGACGCCCUUUGUCGUCGCUAAGCAGGGGGCCAGAACAGCAGGAUUAUCACUUCGCUGCAGGGAUCUUCCGGAAGAGGAUGUUUAAUACGGGUGAGGAGAUCAAUCAGGACCCCGGCUACUACGCAUUCGAGGAUGAGUAAAACGCCACCACUCUUAAAGGACGGACCAUAAUAAUUUAUCUUGUUAUUUCAUACGGGACAGAGGACCAUCUGCUUCUAUGAAAUGGCUGAAUGGCGAGAUGAUUUGACCUAUCUGACACGAUCAAUUGCUGUGUGGAUAGCUUGCCCCUGAUGGCAUCUCAACCUUUGACUCAGAGACAUACUGUUUAAUUAUAGCACCGUAUUGUGCUGUCAACGUUUUUAGUUUUCUUCGAAACAACAAACUACAGAUAUCCCGUUUAAACGACCAAGCCAUUACUAGUCUGGCAGCUUUCCUGCAUUCUCACGUUAUUCAUUCGCCAUGGGAGGCCUGCUAAGAUGAACGCAUCAAUGACGUCAUCGUACGAUUCCAUGGACUAGGGGCCGUACCGUAAGCAGUCCAAUGGAGGCCAAUACACACUGUCAAUGAACAUUAUUUUUGAAAUGACAAAUUUUCGUCUUAGAAACACGAGCUGAAUGUCAUUAGGGACCUUUUUCAAAGCGUGAGAUCAAUGACAACGACUGUCAAAGGGACUCUAAACUACAACUAAUUGUAGUUGCAUAAACGUUUUAAAAGACAAAAUAAUAAAUAGUGACUAUUAUAAUAUCGACUCGAUUCACAAAGGAUAACUUCUUUAACUAUUUCGGAAACUACAAACGUUUAAGAGUAGAGCUUGCUCAGAUACUUUUACAAAACAUGUGUUUGGAAAAUAAAGUAAAACAUUAGAGAAGGAUACAGUGUAUUACCUGUUUGCCAAAAAAAAAUUAAUUGUUUUAGUAACACUGUUCUUUUAACAUUGUAUGUAAAAGGUAACAGAUGUUCUUUACAAUUUUCUUCAUAAGUUUAAAACCAAAUCGAAUGUCAGUGUGGGCUUGUUCCAAGCCUUUGACAUGCCCUUUUUGACAUAACCCUAAACAACGUUCAGAAGCUCAUUUGAACUGUCUAUGAGAUUUAACACAGAACUAUUUCGUGUGCUCUUUCCACAACCUUCUUUCUCCGCUUUUCUUUUGGUAAUUGAUUCACAAAUUAAGUCGAGCCAUGACUGUUGAAUUGAAUUUUGCCGCGGGAGGUAAUUGGCCAAUCGACACCUGUCCGUCAAAAUGACUUUUGACUUAAUGAGAUAGUUACACGCCCAACACUCUGAGUGCUUGCAUUGCAAAAUAGUCAUGACCUUUAAAUCAAUCUCAGUGAUUGGUUUCGCCUGCACUUUUGUUUUACUAUCGGCCGAUGUGUGGAUAUUUGAUUUCUUGGGGUGAGUUGUGAGUUGGCUAGAUCACUGAGUUUGGCAUGACCUGGUCAUCUAAACUAAAACCAAUUAAAGCUUGUAAAAAACAAUCCCAUUGCACUUUGACAUCACUGAAAUUGUUGUAAACAAAACAUAACCACACAGUCGACCGUUUCAUUAGUUAUACAAGACUAUAAAAAAGCUUUUACAAUAAAUAAAGCCAUUAUUUCUUCGUAUUUCAAGCAAAUUUGAGGAUACAACCUUUAUAAGAGACUGCACUGAGACAGAAUUUAUUUAAUUGAAAACAAUUGUUGGGUUUGAACACAAACUAACAUCGUCAUUUACAACUUCAUUCUUUUCCACCAACUUGGUGUCAAUUAAGACAAACAUCAGUGUGCAGUUUUGAAAUAUUUGAUGAUAAACAAAGGGCAAAGUACAGGGCAAUGAGUAUUCUAGAUCUUGAUUUGUUUUAUUUUUCUUACACCAAGUGUUAAACAAGUAUUAAUUAUAUUAAUUCCAAACCUUAGACUUAGUAAUGUUUAGUGGGAUGUUGUGUUGCCCAACUCUUAAUGAUUAUCGAGGUUUGACAUUGACCUAUUGUGAUGCACUAUUUGUCAACGCAAUUGAAUUAAGACAUAAACAUGAUCAUUCAACGUCUCGCCGAUUAGUCUAUAGGGAGAUGCUUCAGACUAGGAUGUACUCUGAUGUACUCUCUGUACAAAUUACCAGUUAUUCAGAUAUUUGAACUGAAAUCACAGGAUGACGAAUAAUACAUGAGUAAAGCCUGUAUGGUUUUUAUUUAAGCGUCACAUGUAACCUAUAUAUAUGUUGUGCAAAGAGUAUGAAUGUUUAAACAAACACCAAGUGCAAACGUGUACAUCUCGAAGUGCCAACGAAUUCUUGAUUGAUUUACCUAACUCUAACUAUAUUUCACUGUAAAUGAAUUUGACGAAAUAAAAACGCAAAACUUAAACUGCA